GCUGGGCAUGGUGGCGCAUGCCCGAAGUCCCAGCUACUUGGGAGGCUGAGGCGGGAGGAUUGCUUGAGUCCAGGAGGUUGAGGUUGCAGUGCCCCAUUAUUGUGCCACUGCACUCCAGCCUGGGUGACAGAACAAGACCCUGUCUCAA
rfam:Pan troglodytes isolate Yerkes chimp pedigree #C0471 (Clint) chromosome 3, whole genome shotgun sequence.